GAUGAAGAACGCAGCGAAAUGCGAUAAGUAGUGUGAAUUGCAGAAUUCAGUGAAUCAUCGAAUCUUUGAACGCACAUUGCGCCCUUUGGUAUUCCAAAGGGCAUGCCUGUUCGAGCGUCAUUUGUACCCUCAAGCUUUGCUUGGUGUUGGGGCCUGCUGCACUGGCAGCCCUUAAAAUCAGUGGCGGCGCCAUCUGGCUCUAAGCGUAGUAAUUCUUCUCGCUAUGGAGUCCUGGUGGAUGCUUGCCAUCAACCCCCAAUCUUUCUAUGGUUGACCUCGGAUCAGGUAGGGAUACCCGCUGAACCUAAGCAUAUCAAUAAGCGGAGGA
rnacentral:misc_RNA from 1 species